UCCUCACUUCAACACUCGUUAUCCCAUUCUCGAAGAAGAUUUAAAAUGAAAGCCAAGAAACAACUCCAAAUUUCAUGCCAAAAUCGAAUAAAACAUGCAUCCCUCAUCUUCAUUUCACUCUGGUGCACGCAUAAUCGAGGAGGAUUGAAUAAUUUCGAAGCAAGCAAUGCAAUGAAUCAUGGAUUGUAACCAAAUCGAAUCGAGGAUUGAAGCAAGAAGGUAGAGGAAAACUCGCCAAAUUUGAAUCUGACGCGGUGGUUCUCCGACAAGCAACAAAUAUUGAACUCUUUCUCGGUGGCAAUGUUAUGAUGGGGGAAUCUGAUUUGAAUGAAUUAUAGGUGUAGGGUUUUACAUUUGGCCUAGUUCCCACUUGGUGCGUGUAGGGCUUGGCGUGUGGAGGAGCUUGGACUUGGUGGUUCUGUGUAAACAAUGGUUUACAGGUUGAAUGCAUUUUGCUGAGUUAUGCAGGAGCUUCAUUUAUGUGUUGUUCUGUGUACAAAAAUGCAGGGUGAACAUUGAAUUCCCUGUUAUGCGUUGCUUUUGUUUAAGCUAUUUGGUUAAGGACUUGUUUGGAAUCAAAAUGGAAGUUGGGAUUAUGGAUUGUAUUGAAUUAGAUUGGAAAAUGGGGUUGAAAUUUAAACGCAGGACUUUGUUAAUUUGUGAAUGGGAUUAUGUAAUGAGUUUUUUAUUGAAUGAAUGUUAUUGAGUUUGAUUUUGUAUGGAAA